UACGGAGGAUGCAAGCGUUAUCCGGAUUUAUUGGGUUUAAAGGGUGCGCAGGUGGUUUAAUAAGUCAGUGGUGAAAGUCUGCCGCUUAACGGUAGGAUUGCCAUUGAUACUGUUGGACUUGAAUAUGGAUGAGGUAGGCGGAAUGUGUAGUGUAGCGGUGAAAUGCUUAGAUAUUACACAGAACACCGAUUGCGAAGGCAGCUUACUAAUCCAUCAUUGACGCUGAGGCACGAAAGCGUGGGGAUCAAACAGGAUUAGA
rnacentral:rRNA from 1 species